UACGAAGGGGGCUAGCGUUGCUCGGAAUCACUGGGCGUAAAGCGCACGUAGGCGGAUUGUUAAGUCAGGGGUGAAAUCCUGGAGCUCAACUCCAGAACUGCCUUUGAUACUGGCGAUCUUGAGUCCGGGAGAGGUGAGUGGAACUGCGAGUGUAGAGGUGAAAUUCGUAGAUAUUCGCAAGAACACCAGCGGCGAAGGCGGCUCACUGGCCCGGUACUGACGCUGAGGCGCGAAAGCGUGGGGAGCAAACAGG
rnacentral:rRNA from 1 species